ACUCGGUUCCCUCUGCCUCCUCGGGGCUCCCAGCUCUGGUCCUGAUACAGAAGAUUCCAGAGACAAAGCGUCCACCCCCUCACUGUCUUAAGCUCGGCAGAGAAUUAUAACGUGCACGUCGCUAUCUUUCUACGAAGUCUUAAGUGAAUCAUCUACUUGAAGAAUGCUUGUGUCCCCCGCGAGACUAGAGUUGAAAAUAUGUCGUGUGAAGCUUUUAAACAGAAGCCUCUCCUCACCCCGUACUAUUUCUGCUUGAAUUAAACUUCAGGGGAAAUCUGUGGCGACCUAAGUGCAGGAACUCGAACAUUCCAGGCAAGCACUCUGCUCCCGAGCCACACGUUAGUUCACGAUUCGCUGUUCUUUUGCUGCCAGAGACAGUCUCAACUGUGCAUUUUUUUCUCUGCUGAUUUCCACUGCUAAUAAGCAUGUAAACCUACUGUGAGUGUGUUUUACUUGUGUGAUCAACCAAAAUAAAAAAAGAAGGAGUCACUGACAAUAAAUCCAACAUGAAAACAGGUGCCUGGGCUCCAGACGCAGUCCACACGUCUGAGGAACACGAAGCCCUACCGGUGUGCAGAUCGGCUCCCCGUCUUGCUUGCUCGCCCACAUUCUCCAUUCUGGACCUUUGUAGCAUGCCUCGCCCCCCGCUGCCUGGAUGCGGGUGAUCGGGGCCUAUUUAUUCUUAGACUAGAAGUUGUCUGAGGCCAGGAGUCCUGUACAUGUCUGCACUCCUGUGUCAGCGCACAAACCUGGUCUGUGCAUCGGAGCGUGGAACCAGCUGCCAACCAGGAAUCUUGCACAUCGCCCAGUUCUCUAAAAGUCCCAGAGAGUGCGAAGCGGAGGGAUUUGGUGCCCGAAAUAGGAGCUUAUUCUAAGAGCCGUGUAGCAGGAAAGACAAAGAUAGCUCAGAGAGUGGAGAUUUCGCAAGAGGAGGAGGAAAGGAAGUAGGAGAAAGAGCAGAAGAGUGGGAGUGAGAGUGUGGGUACCGAGAAAGCAGAAGGCCGGCGUGCGCCGCGGCUGCCGGGGACUUGCAUGAGCUCAGCCUCCAACGCAGCUCUCCUGGACUUUUGUUCAUGCGUCUAAAUCUAGAUCAUCACGAAUGUUUUUCUGUGUUCGUUCUGCUGUGUUCUCAUCUCUGACCUUCAGGUUAAGCUCAGCUGUGCCAAGCUGAUUGGCUUGGGGAUCUGCCCAGGAAACCAGUAAAGUACACUUCUGAGUCACCUGAGUGAGUUACAAGGUGCGGCCUCGGGGGUCCAUCCUGCUCCCCGCCCCCUUCUC